AGAGUUUGAUCAUGGCUCAGAUUGAACGCUGGCGGCAUGCCUUACACAUGCAAGUCGAACGGCAGCGCGGGAGUAAUCCUGGCGGCGAGUGGCGAACGGGUGAGUAAUAUAUCGGAACGUGCCUUAGAGUGGGGGAUAACUAGUCGAAAGACUAGCUAAUACCGCAUACGACCUACGGGUGAAAGUGGGGGAUCGCAAGACCUCAUGCUCUUAGAGCGGCCGAUAUCUGAUUAGCUAGUUGGUGGGGUAAAAGCUCACCAAGGCGACGAUCAGUAGCUGGUCUGAGAGGACGACCAGCCACACUGGGACUGAGACACGGCCCAGACUCCUACGGG
rnacentral:rRNA from 1 species